GCUACUCGGUCACUGCACAUCUCCGAGGCGUCACUGGAUUCUCGUGCAAUGCGAUACAAAGGCAGUUACUUGAAAUGAAUCUCUCCUGCAACGCCCGUUGACGACUCUAAAGUCCGACAGAAAGUUAAAAUGAUUCAACUGUACGGACGGUGAAAGUUGCGUUUUAGAGAGGGAGAGAGAGUGACAGAGAAAUAGAGACACAGGAGGAGAAAAAAGGGAGCGCCUUUCUGAAUGUGAAUUUUUGUUGGCCAUCCCCAACCAUCGGCCCCCCUCAUCAACACCUUUCACCUCGCCAGUGGAGUUGCAGGGAAGUCUCAAAGACAUUUAUGAAGCUGUGGCCCUCACUGCCGGACCGAUUUCAGGGUCCACAUCGUCAUCGCACCAGGGCUGAGACAAGAUAUGGACACGAGGGAAAUAUCCAUCUCCUGGGAUCCUGACCCCAUAGGAACUAUCUGUAUUCCAGACGGAACUCAAACAAUGACGUUUGCACUGGGUCGGAGGACUAUGUGUAGUGCUGGGUCACUUCCAAGGCAUCAGCCCUAACCUUUCAGGGCCUCAGACCUUAGUCCAUUUUUAGUGGUGAGUGCAAGGAAAAUAAGCAUCACCAGCAGUUUGUCUUUUUACUGUCUUGCAUCAUUUCCUGCCUCCCCCUCGCUUUUGAUCAUACUCUCUCCCAUUCUGCUCGAACACACGCUCAUGCGCAAACAAACCUGCACCAUCCUCCGACUCCUCCAUCUUUCCUCUGUCCAGCCAGCCCUAAUGAGUCUUUCAGCUGAGCGAUGAUAGACUUGUAUUUAUUCUCCAAGCCGAUAAUUUUAGGGAGUGCAUCUACACUCUCAGUGCCUGGGGCCCAUGCCAGGGACAGAUCAACCCUAGGCAGUGAGAGGAAUAUGGAAAUAGUUUUUCAACAACCACCUCUUCCCUGCCCAAUUUUUCUUUACAGUAAAUAUACAUACUACAUAAGUAUGACUUCAUUCUCCCUCAGGCAUUGUCACUACUUGAAUUUUUUUCAAAAACAAUUUACCCUCAACAUACAAUUACGCACACACACAGCUAAUCCUUUUAGCUCAUAACAUACAGACAAUGGACUAACUCCAAGCAGAAGCCUGAGGCUAGGACUUCAUACCUCCCAGCUCAGUAAACAAGGAAAAAAUGACCAAAAAAAGACAACACCAUAUAAAUGUUUCUGCCUGUCAUGGAGUCAGGUUCAAGUGCACCAGCAGUUAUUUGCACGUGCGUAUAAACUUCAAAGUUAACAGUGAGUGGCUGUGUUUUGGGGUGAGAGACCCCCGGCAUGAUGGAGAGCGCUGGGCUGGGGGUAGACGGAGCAGUACUGUGAGAUAAAUCUACCAUGCCGCACAUGAGCUCAUUAAUUCAACAUUUCAGUCCAUGUGGAUGAGACAGGGAGGGCCUAUCCAAACACUGUCCCUCCGCAGCAGGGCCCUGAGCACUCUGAAGCACUCUCUAUUUACUGUAGGCCUGUGUUUGGGCUUGUGCCAUGUAACACUUUGACCCAGCGAGAGGAGAUUGUUGAGACUUGUAUCCAAGAAGGGAAACAGAAAGCUAUUGUGAGUCUGAGCACAACAAGGUUUGGUUUUGGUGGGCUUUUUCUUAACUUACUGACAUGUAGUGAUGGAAUAUGAAAACAAAAUGUAAGCCGAAUCAUACAGAGCUUACCUUUAAGCUCUUACAUUUUACAAAAGUUUUUAAAACUUUCGAUUCUCACAGCAUAUGUUGGUUGUUUUUUCAGUUGUUGCAUGUGGCUAAAGGCUAUUUUUUGCUACAUGAAAAAAUGGGUAAAAUACUAAGUGAUUGCAAAGAAAGCCUAUCCCAGGCCACCCUUACCCUCUUUUGGACACACACCAAUACAUCUGACCCAACACUUUAGAUUCCACUAUUGCUCCCAAAUAUCCCCCCUGUGUUGACAUUAGAUCUGAAGGAUCAGUGUCUCCCCGGGGCAGAUGGUCUUUGGGGAGGAGUAAUACAGUUCCCUGGAUGCCUGGAUUUGUGCUGGAACACGCAGGACGAAUCAGAGCACCUGUGUUCGUUUGGACAUAGCUGUGCACAUCACAUGAUCUGUCUGAGGCGGGACAGGGAGUAGUAGUAGUAAUAUUCUAACUGACCUCGUGUCCUCCAAGGAAAAGACUCAUCCAUCUCUGCCUCCACUUA